ACGGCUCAGUAACACGUGGAUAACCUGCCCUUAGGACUGGCAUAACCCUGGGAAACUGGGGAUAAUUCCGGAUAACCCAUGAAUGCUGGAAUGCAUCGUGGGUAAAAUGGUUUCGACCGCCUAAGGAUGGAUCUGCGGCCUAUCAGGUAGUAGUGGGUGUAUCGUACCUACUAGCCGACGACGGGUACGGGUUGUGAGAGCAAGAGCCCGGAGAUGGAUUCUGAGACAUGAAUCCAGGCCCUACGGGGCGCAGCAGGCGCGAAAACUUUACAAUGCGGGAAACCGCGAUAAGGGGACACUGAGUGCCAGCAUACUAUGUUGGCUGUCCACAUGUGUAAAAAGCAUGUGUUAGCAAGGGCUGGGCAAGACCGGUGCCAGCCGCCGCGGUAACACCGGCAGCCCGAGUGGUGAUCACUAUUAUUGGGUCUAAAGGGUCCGUAGCCGGUUUGAUCAGUCUUUUGGGAAAUCUGACAGCUUAACUGUUAGGCUUCCAAAGGAUACUGUCAGACUUGGGACCGGGAGAGGUAAGAGGUACUACAGGGGUAGGAGUGAAAUCUUGUAAUCCCUGUGGGACCACCAGUGGCGAAGGCGUCUUACCAGAACGGGUCCGACGGUGAGGGACGAAAGCUGGGGGCACGAACCGGAUUAGAUACCCGGGUAGUCCCAGCCGUAAACGAUGCUCGCUAGGUGUCAGGAAUGGUGCGACCGUUUCUGGUGCCGUAGGGAAGCCGUGAAGCGAGCCACCUGGGAAGUACGGCCGCAAGGCUGAAACUUAAAGGAAUUGGCGGGGGAG
rnacentral:rRNA from 1 species